ACAGAUUUUUCGGAAUGAAGUUUUUAUGACUGAGUGGCGGACGGGUGAGUAACGCGUGGGUAACCUGCCUCACACAGGGGGAUAGCAGUUGGAAACGACUGGUAAUACCGCAUAAGCGCACAGCUUCGCAUGAAGCGGUGUGAAAAACUCCGGUGGUGUGAGAUGGACCCGCGUCUGAUUAGGUAGUUGGUGAGGUAACGGCCCACCAAGCCGACGAUCAGUAGCCGACCUGAGAGGGUGACCGGCCACAUUGGGACUGAGACACGGCCCAGACUCC
rnacentral:rRNA from 1 species